GACGAACGCUGGCGGUGUGCUUAAUACAUGCAAGUCGAACGAAGAGGCCCUUUCGGGGGUACUUCAGUGGCGGACGGCUGAGUAAUACAUAGGUAACGUGCCCUUUACUGGGGGAUAACACCGGGAAACUGGUGCUAAUACCGCAUAGGUGCCAGGUUGCAAUACCUGUCAUUAAAGAAUUUCGGUAAAGGAUCGGCCUGUGUCGGAUUAGCUUGUUGGUAGGGUAAUGGCCUACCAAGGCGACGAUCCGUAGUUGGUCUGAGAGGAUGACCAGCCAGAGUGGGACUGAGAACGGCCCACACUCCUACGGGAGGCAGCAGUAGGGAAUAUUGCGCAAUGGACGAAAGUCUGACGCAGCAACACCGCGUGUAGGAUGAAGCUUCUAGGAGCGUAAACUACUGUCGGCAGGGGAAUAUAAUGACUGUACCUGCAAAGGAAGCAUCGGCUAACUACGUGCCAGCAGCCGCGGUAAC
rnacentral:rRNA from 1 species